rnacentral:rRNA from 1 species
AUUGAACGCUGGCGGCAGGCCUAACACAUGCAAGUCGAGCGGAUGAAGGGAGCUUGCUCCUGGAUUCAGCGGCGGACGGGUGAGUAAUGCCUAGGAAUCUGCCUGGUAGUGGGGGAUAACGUCCGGAAACGGGCGCUAAUACCGCGUACGUCCUGAGGGAGAAAGUGGGGGAUCUUCGGACCUCACCCUAGCAAAGGAGCCUAGGUCGGAUUAGCUAGUUGGUGGGGUAAAGGCCUACCAAGGCGACGAUCCGUAACUGGUCUGAGAGGAUGAUCAGUCACACUGGAACUGAGACACGGUCCAGACUACUACGGGAGGCAGCAGUGGGGAAUAUUGGACAAUGGGCGAAAGCCUGAUCCAGCCAUGCCGCGUGUGUGAAGAAGGUCUUCGGAUUGUAAAGCACUUUAAGUUGGGAGGAAGGGCAGUAAGUUAAUACCUUGCUGUUUUGACGUUACCAACAGAAUAAGCACCGGCUAACUUCGUG